AGCCUAGAGGAGCAGUGUGGAGGUGGAUAACAAGUGGGAGAGAGGAUCCUUCUUUAGGAGUGCCUGGGUAUGGUUACAGGCAGCCACACCCCAUUCUACCCCACACCAUAGGCAGCUACGCCCAAUUCUACCCUACAAUAUAGGAUCAUUGCUAUAUAUUUGUAAUCACAACAUUGAUGAUACGGAAAUAAUCAGAUCAGUGGAGCCUUACUGUCCAUGUAGCCUAGGCUACUAGGCAAAUUCAAGAUAAUAAGUCCUCUUAUAUCAAGAAAAGGUCUAGAUCCACCCAUCUGCUUAGCCUGCAAAACAUCAGAAGAGGCAAAUUUAGUGAAAACAUCAGAA